rnacentral:rRNA from 2 species
AGACCCGAAACCCGGUGAUCUAGCCAUGGGCAGGUUGAAGGUUGGGUAACACUAACUGGAGGACCGAACCGACUAAUGUUGAAAAAUUAGCGGAUGACCUGUGGCUGGGGGUGAAAGGCCAAUCAAACCGGGAGAUAGCUGGUUCUCCCCGAAAGCUAUUUAGGUAGCGCCUCGUGAAUUCAUCUCCGGGGGUAGAGCACUGUUUCGGCUAGGGGGCCAUCCCGGCUUACCAACCCGAUGCAAACUGCGAAUACCGGAGAAUGUUAUCACGGGAGACACACGGCGGGUGCUAACGUCCGUCGUGAAGAGGGAAACAACCCAGACCGCCAGCUAAGGUCCCAAAGUCAUGGUUAAGUGGGAAACGAUGUGGGAAGGCCCAGACAGCCAGGAUGUUGGCUUAGAAGCAGCCAUCAUUUAAAGAAAGCGUAAUAGCUCACUGGUCGAGUCGGCCUGCGCGGAAGAUGUAACGGGGCUAAACCAUGCACCGAAGCUGCGGCAGCGAACGUAUCACCCAAGACAACUUUACGGAGUUGACGAUUGACGGAGCGAAGCGACGUCAAAGCGUUCAUUAAAGUCGAGUUGGCUUAGGGAUACGUUCGUUGGGUAGGGGAGCGUUCUGUAAGCCUGUGAAGGUGUGUCGUGAGGCAUGCUGGAGGUAUCAGAAGUGCGAAUGCUGACAUAAGUAACGAUAAAGCGGGUGAAAAGCCCGCUCGCCGGAAGACCAAGGGUUCCUGUCCAACGUUAAUCGGGGCAGGGUGAGUCGACCCCUAAGGCGAGGCCGAAAGGCGUAGUCGAUGGGAAACGGGUUAAUAUUCCCGUACUUGGUGUUACUGCGAAGGGGGGACGGAGAAGGCUAUGUUGGCCGGGCGACGGUUGUCCCGGUUUAAGCGUGUAGGU